AUGCAAGUCGAACGGCAGCACGGGUGCUUGCACCUGGUGGCGAGUGGCGAACGGGUGAGUAAUAUAUCGGAACGUACCUUAUUGUGGGGGAUAACGCAGCGAAAGCUGUGCUAAUACCGCAUAAUCCCUUAGGGGGAAAGCGGGGGACCGUAAGGCCUCGCGCAAUUAGAGCGGCCGAUACCUGAUUAGCUAGUUGGUGAGGUAAAGGCUCACCAAGGCGACGAUCAGUAGCUGGUCUGAGAGGACGAUCAGCCACACUGGGACUGAGACACGGCCCAGACUCCUACGGGAGGCAGCAGUGGGGAAUUUUGGACAAUGGGGGCAACCCUGAUCCAGCAAUGCCGCGUGAGUGAAGAAGGCCUUCGGGUUGUAAAGCUCUUUUGUCAGGGAAGAAACAGCAGCUCUAACACAGUAUGCGAAUGACGGUACCUGAAGAAUAAGCACCGGCUAACUACGUGCCAGCAGCCGCGGUAAUACGUAGGGUGCAAGCGUUAAUCGGAAUUACUGGGCGUAAAGCGUGCGCAGGCGGUUAUGUAAGACAGGCGUGAAAUCCCCGGGCUUAACCUGGGAAUUGCGCUUGUGACUGCAUAGCUAGAGUAUGUCAGAGGGGGGUAGAAUUCCACGUGUAGCAGUGAAAUGCGUAGAGAUGUGGAGGAAUACCAAUGGCGAAGGCAGCCCCCUGGGAUAAUACUGACGCUCAUGCACGAAAGCGUGGGGGAGCAAACAGGAUUAGAUACCCUGGUAGU
rnacentral:rRNA from 1 species